rnacentral:lncRNA from 1 species
UUUAAAGAGAAGAAUUAACAAAUUCUUUAUCUUCUAUUUUCUCAAGGUCUCAAGUUGAUAUUCUAAAAUCUAUGAUUUUAAAAUCAAGCAACAAUGAAAUAGAAGAUUUAUCCUUCACUUCACUUGAUGAAGAAUCAACUUGACCUUGGCACAACCACUUUAAACUUUGAACCAAGAGCUAAUCUGGGAAAGAUGCAAGAAUAAUGGAAAGUCCUUCCUCAAGACGGAACAGUGGCAGCAAAUCAAGGGCCUUAGAACAACAUUGACAGAGAGGAUAACAUACCACCAAAGAUCCAUACCAGGAAGAGUUAUGAAAAAGAGUGGAUCAAAAAGUACCACCCACUGGAGGACAGCAAAGUCACGUAAGAUCUUUAGAUCUUUUGUAAUAUUAACUGUGUUAGAUGGAAGGCAAGACAUCCGUGUUAUUACUACUACAUGUGAUACAAUAAUGUGACUUCAUUUUAAAUACUCUGCAAAUUAAAGGCCUAGUGGAUUUGAUGGUCAUAAUUUAGUGAUGAGACCAGUAAUUGUGGUUGAGUUUUUUUGUUGUUCUUUCCAGACAUGAUUAACUACAUAGAUGUAGAUAUGGGGGAGUCAGGAAGUUGAAGUCAAGAUUGGGACAUUUUUUUUUUACCAAUUAUAUAUACUGAAGCAAGAAAGUGACAAACAUGUUGAUGUUGUAUGCAAGGCAAUGCUUUUAACAUUUGAUAAGUGGAACUUAAGGUGGGUCAUUAGAGAAGUAAAAACUUGAUGAUGAUCAUGGUUAGUACAAAGAUGGGAUACUUGAGGCAUUGUAAUAAAUUAUCCCAAAAUUUAUUGUCCUUAAAUACU